AUGGAGUUGUUCAUCAUCAUAGUGUUUCAGCUCCUGAUGGAGGUUCAGUCUUACAAAUCUCCUACUGUGAAAGUAUCUCCAGAUCCCAUAAGAGAGUCCAGCUCAGUGAAGAUCAGCUGUGAGACUCCAGCAGAUGUUAGAGUGAGUCAGUGUUAUUUCUACACAAACAGAGAACAGAAGAAUAUAAAAGUCAGUUCAUCAUGUGAGCUCGAGCUCACUGGUGCUGAAGUGCUCAGAUGGGCAGGUGUAAAAUCACCUGAAUCAAUCUACAUUAACUGUUACUACACAAUAAAUGAACGAGGCAUCGAUAAACCCUCAUCUCAUUCUCCUCCUGCCACAGUGACGGUUCUAGAUUCAUUUCCGAAACCCAUCAUCAGUGUUAGUGGAGAUGAUGACCAGCUCUUCAUAUCAUGUGAAAUACCACUUUCAGUCAGAGAUGAUUUCAACUGUAGUUUCUACACUGAGGAUGAUGUUCUUCUGUGUCAACGUGUCUCUCAGUGGAGUCAGUCUGGAAAGAAUCUUUGUAUGUUUCUCAGUAGAGUCAGUCUGGAAAGAAUCUCUGUAUGUUUUAUGUAAGUCGUAGUGAACUCUUCACACGAUCAGUGAACAGCAGACAACUGAUCUGUGUUUAUUCACUCAAAACUGAACCUGAGAUCAGAUCACCACACAGUGACACAUACACCUUCAGAGACACAUACACCUUCAGAGACACAGUCACCAUCAGAGGUGAGUUAUUAUUAUUAUCAUCUUUAAAACAUGAGCACAUUUGAUGAUUAGAGACACCUGUAUAAUUAUUUAGACAGUAUGAUUUAUUAUGUAGGCAAGUAGUAUCAAAGUACUUUUAAGGCAAGUCAUGUCACUCUGCGGCCAUCUUUGAACGCCUCUCGAGCAUGCAAGUGAAGCUCCUAUCUCUGUGAAUGGGGAAACAUCAAAUUCUCCAAAACUCACCAAGCUUAUGAUUAAAUUUAAUAUUUGAAAUCACCAAUGCAAUCUGACAACACCUGUCUCAUAAAUUUAUAUUAUUCAUAUAGCAUUAAAAAGCUUAUUUUUCAGGCUACACCAGCCAUAUGCGCAGUCCUUAGCACAUGUCUCCAGAAUGCUGACAGUUUCUAUAGCAACAAGACUUUUAACAGCAGCUGCAGUGACACAAUAACUGUUCUGAUUAGCGAUUGGCUCUUUUAAAAUUUAAAAUUCUUUUUAAAUGUCUUUAUCAUCACUUUUGAUCAAUUUAAAGCAUUCUUGCUAAAUAAAAGCAUUAAUUUCUAUAAUUUUUUUUCCA
ensembl:lncRNA